GCCAAGUGUCAUACAAUGACAGAGAACCACUCUUCAGAGGAAAAUAUCACCUUCCCCAGACUCUUCCGGCAAUCGACACAGGAGUUAUUAACACAAGGGAUGUGGGCUGGGCAAGUGCACCUUGAUGCAGAUGUGGCCGUGAGUCUGAGCCCAAGAAGAGCCACUGGCCCAGCUUCCUGCCACACGUCUCUUCCUGGGAUGUUAAGGAGGCUGGCAUGGAGUCAGAGUCCACUCAAGAAAGCAGAAACUACUGGCUAUACUCGCACAGAAGGAAUUUGCUACAGGGAACUGGUUGCAGGUGAUAAUCAGCGAGAAGCCCAGCGGGGGACAGUGAGGUAACCCAGAGAUCGGUGACACAAGAGGCCUCUACCAUCCCUAGGCCGGAGGGGUCCAGGGAGGAAGUGAGGUUGCUGGAUCCCAGGGCGAGUCACCCGUCCACAGGGAGCUGGAGUCAUGAGCCAAACGCAGCUGCUCAUGGAAGCCAGUGGAGGCAGGAGGGAAGGGAGAGACCCCAGCUUCUCUCCCUUGCCUACCUCCUGUCUCCUGUCAGUGCUUCCCACUGGCCAAGCCUAACCUGAAGCCAGCUGACCGGGGAGCCUGGGAAGCCAGGAAGACAGCCACCUGUGAUACAGGACAGAGCAGAGGCAGGACAAGGAAAGGACCUGAGAGGUCACAGCCCACGAAGGACACAGUGGGUCGAGGUGGUAGCCUGAAGCCACAAAGCACGCUAGCCGGGGACUCCACGCGCACCUUGUCUUCCCUCCCACACUGUUGGGUGAUGGCGGCCGGCUCCCCAUCAGCUUCUGGUGCCUUCGUGAUAAAUGCCCACACGCUCCCACCCCAGCCCGAUUCAUCAAGCUCCCCGUGGCACGUUGCAUGGCCAGAGACCUUGCCCACCAGGAGCUUAAUCUCCCAGACAAAGAACAGAAACGCGGCCUGGGCCAGAGACAUAUAACAUGUUGCCGGGAGUCACUGACGGUCUAAGUGAGCCCAGGAGCCUCGCAGCUCCUGCCAGGAAUGGGGAGGGGGCGGAGCGGCCGAGGCCUUCGGUUUUCUCCCUCCUUCCAUCUCUGGUGUCAGGGGUGACUUGGAAAGGAUACCCCAAGUUUCUCUAGGCCAUUCUUCCACCUUUUUCUCAACCUAACCCCUCCUGGACCAAGCAGGCUCUAAUACAGCUGUUCCUUUCUCCUUCCCUCCCCUCCUUCCUUAACAUGGAUUAAAAGCCUCCAACACACUGUUUGCUAUGGACGCUGUGGAUGCCAUAGCGAGCAAGACAGGCCUGGUCCCUGCCCUCACGGUGCUUACACACGCAGAGCUUCUGCAACCUUCCCUAGUUGUCCCCCUAAGGGCAGGGGGACCUUCAGACCACCCCACCCCGCUGCUUUCCAAACUCAGCUUCCAAGAGGAAGCUGAGACCCAGUCCAUCUGGAGACCCAACUCCAGGCUUCCCUUCUGUCUCCAACCCCUUUUGAGUAAAAAGAGGGUCAGAGAGGAGAGGGCACUAGAUUCAGGGGGCUGUGAUUGGCUGCCACCAGACUGAUAGAUGGGUGAAGAGACCAACCAAGACUGUGGGACAGCCAGGGUGGCAAGGCAACCUAGAGUCAGGCAGGUGCCGCUGCAGUCCCCACCGCCUGCCCCCCACCCCUCGGCCAGCCUGUCCCCCCUGUCUGGGGCCCAGCUCUAAAUCUCUCUGACAUAAAAUAUUGUCGGAGAGCCACAGCACAGAGAGAUUAAAAAACAAUAAAGAGAAAGCGAAACUCUCGUCUAUAAUUACCAGCCUCUAGCCGGCAGCAGCAGAAACGCACUAAAAUUUUAAUAGGAACCACUGCAUUUAAUUUAACGACACAUUUUUUCAAUUACCAGAAUAAUUGUCUUAUUCAUAAAAUGAGUUUCAAUAAAGAGGGUA
rnacentral:lncRNA from 10 species